GGGAGGCAGCAGUGGGGAAUCUUCCGCAAUGGGCGAAAGCCUGACGGAGCAACGCCGCGUGAGUGAUGACGGCCUUCGGGUUGUAAAACUCUGUGAUCCGGGACGAAAAGGCAGAGUGCGAAGAACAAACUGCAUUGACGGUACCGGAAAAGCAAGCCACGGCUAACUACGUGCCAGCAGCCGCGGUAAUACGUAGGUGGCAAGCGUUGUCCGGAAUUAUUGGGCGUAAAGCGCGCGCAGGCGGCUUCCCAAGUCCCUCUUAAAAGUGCGGGGCUUAACCCCGUGAUGGGAAGGAAACUGGGAAGCUGGAGUAUCGGAGAGGAAAGUGGAAUUCCUAGUGUAGCGGUGAAAUGCGUAGAGAUUAGGAAGAACACCGGUGGCGAAGGCGACUUUCUGGACGAAAACUGACGCUGAGGCGCGAAAGCGUGGGGAGCAAACAGGAUUAGAUACCCUGGUAGUCCACGCCGUAAACGAUGGAUACUAGGUGUAGGAGGUAUCGACCCCUCCUGUGCCGGAGUUAACGCAAUAAGUAUCCCGCCUGGGGA
rnacentral:rRNA from 1 species